AUUGAGUGAAUAGUCUCCAAUUAUGGUGGUAUUAUUGAGCAUAGAUUAUGUUAGAUCAUGACAUGGGUCGAUCACAAGGCUUUGACUUUGUUACAUUUGACAAUGAAGAAGCUGCGGAUAAGAUAUUUACUGAUGGUCAACUACAUGAACUUGGAGGCAAAUAAGUUGAGAUAAAGAGGGCUGAGCCACAAAGGGUUGGCGUCAUUUUCUCAGACGACAAUCGUUUACGUCGUGGUGGUGCUUUCAAGUCAUUCUCAUGAUGAAAGAUGGUAUUGUUCCCAUGAAUGCAUCCUAUGGUGGCCAGAUUAGCCUGUAAUGAAGAAACUGGAAUUGCCGAGACAAGCUGGUGAGAUUGAUAUGUUCAUGAAAAUUCAGGUAUUUUUAUGCUAAAACCUCCAUUUAUGUAUAUACUUCAUUAUCGGUUUAAAUGGGCAUGGUUGGUAUAUGCUUUAUAUCAAAUUGGCCAGCAAUGAGAUGUUUUUGUAAAUGGAUGAUCAUAUGUGCUCUGCAUAUUCUUGACUUGCAUCUUAUUUUAUGGGUAGGAAAUAGAGAUUGAUGUAGGAUAGCUGCUGAUUAAGUGUUACUUUAGUUGGUUUAUUUUAUUUAUUAUUAUUGUUGCACCACAAAGUGUUCUGUUUGAUUAACCAGAUCUGACGUGAUAAACAAAACAAUUAGAUAAAAGACUAAAGAUAACCGGAUCAACCUGCAAAUCUUGAAGAGGUAACUACCGCUUUUGCCGGAUUGUUGAUGAAUCACCUCGCCCAAUUGGCUAUAUGUCUUUCAAAAUGGAUUGCUGACUUACGAUAAAGAGCGGCCUGCACCAGACUCAGGAAGGUGUAAGAUAUCCGAGAGUUAUUCCUCCGCAGAGCUGGCUUUCUGUGUUGCUGUUAUUGAUGCAGUUGAAGCCAAUACCUGGGUUUCUCCUGCUAAUUUAAACUGCAUCAAUCACAGUGUGUCCUAACAUAUACUGUCUUUAACAUUGUUUUAUAAAGAUAUGUAA